GAAAUCCAAAGCUUGUUCUUUUCUGUUGAAAUUAAACGUGUUUUCACCAGGAUUAUUUGUGAUUUCACCAGGAUUUUAAUUUUUAUCUUGAUCUCUGUUUUUCUGGCUGUCAACAUGACAGCCAAUUUCAGAUCGGUUAAGGCUCGCUAUAGUUGUAAUAUCAAAAUCGUGUAAUUUUGAAUCGUCUAGGAGAGGAUCACGAUAAUACUCUCUCAUGGGAAAUUGCUGUUUAAAAAUUUGUGGAAUAUGUUCCUGCAUGGUCAAGAUCAUCAUGCUAGCUCUUACGAGUACUGUGGUAUUAUUAUUGAUAAUACUUUUAGUUAUAUUUCUUUGAUCAUCCUCAUACAGAAAUCAGUGGAAGACUGAUAAUAUUGAGACGAAUAACUUUUGGCACUGAAUCGAAACUACGUAUUUAUAAUACUAUAGUGAAUAAAGAUGUGAAUAAUUCGAAAAAAUGAA